rnacentral:rRNA from 1 species
GACGAACGCUGGCGGCGUGCCUAACACAUGCAAGUCGUACGGGACUUGGGGGCAACUCCAAGUUCAGUGGCAGACGGGUGCGUAACACGUGAGCAACUUGUCCGACGGCGGGGGAUAGCCGGUCUAACGGCCGGGUAAUACCGCGUACGCUCGUUGGGGGGCGAUCUCCUGACGAGGAAAGCAGCCGCAAGGUUGCGCCGACGGAGGGACGUCGCGGCCUAUCAGCUAGUUGGCGGGGUAANGGCCCACCAAGGCGACGGGUAGCUGGUCUGAGAGGACGAUCAGCCACAUUGGGACUGAGACACGGCCCAGACUCCUACGGGAGGCAGCAGUGGGGAAUAUUGCGCAAUGGCCGCAAGGCUGACGCAGCGACGCCGCGUGUGGGAUGACGGCCU